AUUGAACGCUGGCGGCAGGCUUAACACAUGCAAGUCGAGCGGAGAGAGGUAGCUUGCUACUGAUCUUAGCGGCGGACGGGUGAGUAAUGCUUAGGAAUCUGCCUAUUAGUGGGGGACAACAUUUCGAAAGGAAUGCUAAUACCGCAUACGUCCUACGGGAGAAAGCGGGGGAUCUUCGGACCUUGCGCUAAUAGAUGAGCCUAAGUCGGAUUAGCUAGUUGGUGGGGUAAAGGCCUACCAAGGCGACGAUCUGUAGCGGGGCGGAGAGGAUGAUCCGCCACACUGGGACUGAGCCACGGCCCAGACUCCUACGGGAGGCAGCAGUGGGGAAUAUUGGACAAUGGGCGCAAGCCUGAUCCAGCCAUGCCGCGUGUGUGAAGAAGGCCUUAUGGUUGUAAAGCACUUUAAGCGAGGAGGAGGCUACUUUAGUUAAUACCUAGAGAUAGUGGACGUUACUCGCAGAAUAAGCACCGGCUAACUCUGUGCCAGCAGCCGCCGUAACAC
rnacentral:rRNA from 1 species